rnacentral:rRNA from 1 species
CUUGAACGCUGGCGGCAGGCCUAACACAUGCAAGUCGAGCGAGCGGCGGACGGGUGAGUAAUGUAUGGGGAUCUGCCCGAUAGAGGGGGAUAACUACUGGAAACGGUGGCUAAUACCGCAUACUAUCGGAUGAACCCAUAUGGGAUUAGCUAGUAGGUGGGGUAAAGGCUCACCAAGGCGACGAUCACUAGCUGGUCUGCGAGGAUGACCAGCAACACUGGGACUGAGACACGGCCCAGACUCCUACGGGAGGCAGCAGUGGGGAAUAUUGCACAAUGGGCGCAAGCCUGAUGCAGCAAUGCCGCGUGUAUGAAGAAGGCCUUAGGGUUGUAAAGUACUUUCAGCGGGGAGGCGUUACCCGCAGAAGAAGCACCGGCUAACUCCGUGCCAGCAGCCGCGGUAAUUC